rnacentral:rRNA from 1 species
UACGUAGGGUGCGAGCGUUAAUCGGAAUUACUGGGCGUAAAGCGUGCGCAGGCGGUUCGUCGUGUCCGAUGUGAAAGCCCCGGGCUCAACCUGGGAAUGGCAUUGGAAACUGGCGGGCUUGAGUGUGGCAGAGGGGGGUGGAAUUCCAGGUGUAGCAGUGAAAUGCGUAGAGAUCUGGAGGAACACCGAUGGCGAAGGCAGCCCCCUGGGCUAACACUGACGCUCAUGCACGAAAGCGUGGGGAGCAAACAGG